rnacentral:misc_RNA from 1 species
CAGAGUUGCAAAACUCCCUAACCAUUGUGAAACCUACCUUCUACCGUUUCUUCGGCGGGCUGGCCUCAUGCGCCCGCCGCGCACCCUCCUCGGGGGACGCACCCGCCGGAGAUACCCUAAACUCUUGUACAUUAGUGCCUGCUCUGAGUAUGCUUAAACUAAAUAUUCA